UGAAACGUCUUGGAAUGCUGCGUGAUCAAUGGACGAUCCAAAUGCUGAGAGAUCGAAUGGUUUGAAUCCACAUCGAAGGGAAAGGGGGGUAAGGGGUUGCAUCUUUUCAUAUUUCUCAGGAAGGCUUGUCAAAGACAACUUUUGCCAGGUCUGUUUACCAACCUGAAGGCGAUCACAGAAUUUGAGAGUGUUCAAUUUGAUAUUCCACCGCUCCUUUGAAAAGGAACAGGAGAAAGAGAUAAGGCAAUCCUGUCAAAUAUACUUGGUGCUGGCAAGAGAAGAGCUAUCUGGAAGGUAUGCACUCCUGCUAUUUAAAUUGAAAUACAUAAAGUUUCACAGAGAACGAAGCUUUCUUCGUCAGACUUUUGCUGUCUGCCCUUUAAUCUCAGGCAGAUCAAGAGUUGCAGGACAUCAGCCACACGGAUAGGCGCUGCUCCUGAUACACUUAACCACUCAUGGUCAGGUCAUCAGUAUAAACAUCAGGCAGUUGUAUGUGAAAGAAAACUGUAAAGAAACUGCUUGAAAUACUCUCGUGUCACUUCUAACAACAAUAAUAAUAUUAAGGAAUACCUUUUUGAAUAUGCCAUCUGCCAAGCAUUGUGCUUUGGUUGUUUGCGUCUUACCUGGAAAGCAGAGAAGCUCUGUCAUUCUUUGAAAUCUUUGUGUUCUGAACUGAAGGGUAAGGAGCAUUUCUGGUUGUCUGCUAGGUAUCAUGGUUAUGAUGCGCUACUUCCCUGUCAAGUAUAAACAGUUUAAAUUGAUACAGAGAGUGGUGUUUUGGCUUUUGUGCAUUCUUUGUGA
rnacentral:lncRNA from 1 species